rnacentral:lncRNA from 1 species
AUGAACGUAGAGAUGAACAUUGCCUCCGCCAUGAUCCAAGUCGAGUUCAGAAACAACGACCAGGCCGCCCAGGUCAUCGGCCGCCAGUUAGCACUCAUCGGAGACCAACUGCACGGGAACCGGGCACUCGGUCGUCCCGGUAACGGACUACUAUCUCCGCUCCGCAUCCUGAGACCGACCCUGACCAGCGCCCUCUACAGGGACAUCCAGAAGCAGCUGUGUGGGGUGCAGGGGGCGCUCUACACCACCCUGAAGGCCUGGCUCACCUCUGUCACCCCAACCCUGGGGCCCUUCAGAGCGGAGGCCCUGCCAGCCUGGGCAAACGUUGGCUGGAUCAACCGUUUCCUGCUGACAGUGGCGCUGGUUGCCACGGGGAGCCUUUGCACUGCAUUAUGGGUAGAGUGGGAAGGCUAGUGGGCGGAGCCUCAGGGCUCUUUAACUGCUCUUCAUCUGUGUGCAGAUAAACAAGUAAUUUUAAUCCUUAUUAUUCAUUGUUAUUAUUAACUGUCCCUUCCUUUGGCCGUUUGCUUUUGCUUAUUUUAUUUUAUAUUUUUAAUACUAAUUGAAUGUUAUAAUGAAGCAUGUGAAUGACACCACAGAAUUAGAGCCAAACUCAGGGGGUCAUGAUAAGAACAUAGAAACAUUAAUAUUGGCAUAAACAUGAAUACAGAUUGAUGCAUCAGGUUUCUUAAAGAGUUUGUAAUAUUGCACUGAUUAUACCCAUCCAACUUAUGAUAGGUGGACAUUAGAAUCCAACGGUUUGAUCAGUUUAGAUCAGGUUCUCAACCUGCGGGUUGGGGACCAUUUAGGGUCCCCCCUGAUGGUCAAACAGGCCACAUUUAUACUUAAGCCAUAGAUAUGUUAUAUUCAUUUUUUAUGAGGAAAAAUAAUUUUAACGGGGUGAAAGGUGUCAUAAAAAGUCUUGCAUACAAAGAGUGCCUAAUGAUUUGUAGCGAGCGUUAUGUAGCGAGUGACUUGUAAUCACUUAUUGUGGUAUUUCACUGGAUCAGCGAUAUUUCAGGUGAUUGAUGAUUGGUUUAAAACAAUGUUGAGGGGGGGGGGGGAAUGAUGCAUCAACAUGUAAGAAGGAGGGAGGGGAGGGGUUCGCAAACAUUCUGGGGCCAUCAAAGGUUGGGAACCACGGUUUUAGAAUUUGAUGCAUUCUGAGUGUGAGGAGGCGGGGGCGAUGCAGCUGGCGGUCAUCAAAAUGUCCAGCAACUUCUGGCGCGGCCACUGCUCUGAUAAAGCUGGUCUAUUUGGGGUUAAUGUUGGUUUAUGUUCAUGACUGUGGCUGGUCUGCAGCCUUUUUGUAUGGAACGUCUUUUUUGGCCAUGAUGAGAGAUGGAUUUUUUUGUUAUUUGCAACUGAUGUGUAGCCUUGCUCAUUACCAAAGGAAGCUGGACUUUCUCCUUCGGAAUUCAAAAACUGCUUAUUCACAAAUAAAGUUUUAAGAAAAAAAACGUGACUAUUUCAUUGAUAAAAAAAACUGGAUAUUUAAUUUAGUCACACACACAACAGCACAUACGCCCUCAGCUAGAAUUGAGUAGCUCCAAGGGGCAAUGAGGCAGGCACACACACACACACACACACACACACACACACACACACACACACACACACACACACACACACACACACACACACACACACACACACACAC